ACGCUAGCGGCAGCUUAACACAUGCAAGUCGAACGGUAACUCUUGGUGCUUGCACCAAAAGACGAGUGGCGGACGGGUGCGUAACGCGUAUGCAAUCUACCUUUUACUAGGGUAUAGCCCAGAGAAAUUUGGAUUAAUCCCCUAUAAUAUCAUGAAAUCGCAUGGUUUUAUGAUUAAAGCUUCGGUGGUAAAAGAUGAGCAUGCGUCCUAUUAGUUUGUAGGUGAGGUAACGGCUCACCUAGACUACGAUAGGUAGGGGCCCUGAGAGGGGGAUCCCCCACACUGGUACUGAGACACGGACCAGACUCCUACGGGAGGCAGCAGUGAGGAAUAUUGGACAAUGGACGAAAGUCUGAUCCAGCUAUGCCGCGUGCAGGAUGACAGCCCUACGGGUUGUAAACUGCUUUUAUACAGGAAGAAAAACUCCGACGUGUCGGGGCUUGACGGUACUGUAAGAAUAAGGAUCGGCUAACUCCGUGCCAGCAGCCGCGGUAAUACGGAGGAUCCAAGCGUUAUCCGGAAUUAUUGGGUUUAAAGGGUCCGCAGGCGGUUUUUUAAGUCAGAGGUGAAAUCCUACAGCUCAACUGUAGAAUUGCCUUUGAAACUGAAAGACUUGAGUUAUUGUGAAGUGGUUAGAAUGUGUGGUGUAGCGGUGAAAUGCAUAGAUAUCACACAGAAUACCAAUUGCGAAGGCAGAUCACUAACAAUUAACUGACGCUCAGGGACGAAAGCGUGGGUAGCGAACAGGAUUAGAUACCCUGGUAGUCCACGCCGUAAACGAUGGAUACUAGCUGUAUGUCUACUUCAGGUAGAUGUGUGGCCAAGCGAAAGUGAUAAGUAUCCCACCUGGGGAGUACGAUCGC
rnacentral:rRNA from 1 species